UUUUGUUUUCAUCAGGCAUCAUCAAAACAUUCAUUAAAAAAAAAAACCCGUUAGGACAGUGAAAUGUCCCGUCAUGACAAAGUGAGAUUAGAUCAACAUCUUGUCAUCCAUGUGCAGAACUCGACAUUGCAAAACACAUUGAGAAAUACAGAAUGACUGGAUAAGAUGAUUCCAUCUCCAUCCUUAUAAAGAGACGGGUAACUCACGACUGCUCAGCAGAGACGUCCUCAUCACCUCUAGAUCUCACAGUGCUCACUUUGCUGUCUGUGACACCAGUUUUUUCUUUGGUUCUGACAAACAAGCUGUGGAAAGGAUGAAGUGUGUUAUGAUCUUUCUGGUGUUGACGCUGGUCGUCAUCAUGGCUGAACCCGGGGAGAGUCAAUAUCCACCUUCGUGUGUCCCGUGCCGUAAGUCUCAGUUCAUACAUACUGAGUUAAUGUUAACAGAUUGACCUCUGAUUUACACAAACAGCAGGCUACUUUAGUCUGAGAUCAACAAACCACACAUGACUGUACUAACUUACUACAUACAACUUCAUUUAGUUCUGUGUUUGGCUAGAAUCUGUAUUAAAUCCUGGUAUCUCAGAUAAUUAACCAGAAUCUAAGUAAACAGAGCAUCAUUAAUGUUCUACAUGCAAAGAUUUUCAGAUGUGAUAAUAAUAUACUGAUGUUUAUUUGACUAAUUUUCAUCUUUUUAUCCCUGUAGGACCUCGAGGGAAAUUGUAAGUAUUACUAAAGAUUUACUGUUGAUUUCAAACAGACAAAUAAUAAAGUAAAUUAAAAACACUUUGUGAAAUACCCAAAAUACCCAAGCAAGCAUCAGUAUUAACCAGAUUCCAUGUUGAUGUCUUCAACUACCUAAUUUUGUCAAACCCAUUUAAAUUCACGAUGAUAUAAUAGAGGGCAAAGAAGCAAGUCGACACAUUUCAGAAGCUGGAAUCAGUGAAUUUCUGUCAUUUACUGUAUGUCUGAAUAUUAUGUAAAAAAUAUUCAAUUAUUAAAAUAUGUCUCAAUUGAGAUUCUGUUGAUCGACCUCUGUUGAUAAUGUUACUGAUUCCUCUCUUUUGUUCCCCCAUCUCUAACUUGGUAUAGACUCAGACGGGAAAGAAUCCAAGAUGAAGUGGCCAAAGAUAAACUGAUGAGAUACUAUGAAGACUGAGUCUGUUCUUGAUUUUGAAGAUACAGUUUGAGCUAUAUCUUUGUGCUUUGCAAAGCAAGAAAUAAUUGUAUGAAUAAACAUGAAGCUCUUGAGAUGUAGAGAUUUUAGUCACAGCUCACAUUGAUGUUGAAAAAAGUAAAAUUGCUUGAUAGUGAAAACUAUCCUGCUGAAUAAAGCUGCAUUCCAAAACACCGUCUCUGUGUUGUGGUGUUAUUUAAGUGAACAUGUGCUUGUAAUUUUAUUGGUGAUGAUGAUCAAAAACAUUGUUUUUCAUUUAGUCAGACAUAAAUGUUUGUAUUUAGUAGAUCUAAAUAAUGAGUGUUGGUGUGAUCAGUUUAUUAAAUGAACACUCUUCCUCUUUCUUUCUCUUUCUGAAUGUACUUGUGUCUCUGAUAAAGCAGCACUUUGGAA
rnacentral:lncRNA from 1 species